ACUCAAAGGAAUAGACGGGGACCCGCACAAGCGGUGGAGCAUGUUGUUUAAUUCGAUGAUACGCGAGGAACCUUACCAGCCUUUGACAUGUACAUUUUACUUUCUGGAAACAGAUCGUUUCGGUUCGGCCGGGUGUACACAGGUGUUGCAUGGCCGUCGUCAGCUCGUGUCGUGAGAUGUUGGGUUAAGUCCCGCAACGAGCGCAACCCCUAUUGUUAGUUGCUACCAUUUAGUUGAGCACUCUAACGAGACUGCCGAUGAUAAAUCGGAGGAAGGUGGGGAUGACGUCAGGUCAUCAUGGCCCUUACAGGCUGGGCUACAAACGUGCUACAAUGGCGACUACAAAGGGCUGCAAUACCGUGAGGUGGAGCCAAUCCCUAAAAGUCGUCUCAGUUCAGAUCGUACUCUGCAAUUCGGGUACGUGAAGUUGGAAUCGCUAGUAAUCGUGGAUCAGCGAUGCCACGGUGAAUACGUUCCCGGGUCUUGUACACACCGCCCGU
rnacentral:rRNA from 1 species